UACGUAGGGUGCGAGCGUUGUCCGGAAUUAUUGGGCGUAAAGAGCUCGUAGGUGGUUUGUUACGUCUGCUGUGAAAACCUAGGGCUUAACCCUGGGCUUGCAGUGGAUACGGGCAGACUAGAGGUAGGUAGGGGAGAAUGGAAUUCCUGGUGUAGCGGUGGAAUGCGCAGAUAUCAGGAGGAACACCAAUGGCGAAGGCAGAUCUCUGGGCCGUAACUGACGCUGAGGAGCGAAAGCAUGGGGAGCGAACAGG
rnacentral:rRNA from 1 species